ACCUGACCGGAGAGCCGGCUAGAUAUGGCGUCCUCUUUGCUUGCGGGCGAGCGAUUGAUUCCAAACUAUACCUCCAUGAGCUCCUAGAAGGCAGUGAAAUCUAUCUCCCAGAGGUUGUGAAGCCUCCACGGAACCCAGAACUAGUUGCCCGGCUGGAGAAGAUUAAGAUACAGCUGGCCAAUGAGGAAUAUAAACGGAUCACCCGCAACGUCACUUGUCAGGAUACAAGACAUGGUGGGACUCUCAGCGACCUGGGAAAGCAAGUGAGAUCAUUGAAGGCUCUGGUCAUCACCAUCUUCAAUUUCAUUGUCACGGUGGUUGCUGCCUUCGUCUGCACUUACCUUGGAAGCCAAUAUAUCUUCACAGAAAUGGCCUCGACCUGUAAUUGAGUUCAGAAGCCUCCAAGAAAACAGAAAGGAUCCCCUUUCUCCAGUUUGUGCUGGAAGAGGAGCUGAUCAGAGACAUCAAAUAAGAGAAAGAUGGGUUGCUAGAGGAUGGUAGAACUGGAAGCAAGGCAGCUACCUUUUUGCAAAAGGAAAUGGUGUUAGGCCCCUUUUCCAGAAGAUAAGACAGACUCAUAGAGAUUAAAUGAUCACUAUGGUCCUUCUUCUGUUAAAUGGAGCCAAAGACGCCUAUGUUGUUCUGAAGUCUUGUAAUGUUUAACUUCUGAGAACUUAGAUUAGUGGUGUGAUGAUAGAGUCUGUAUAACGCAUUGAAAAGGGUAUCAGGCUUAGUUAUUUAUCCAAUAAAUAUUUAUUGUAUGCAGGGUAUUCCUAUUUUAACUCCUGUGACAACACAAAGCAUAGCGAUUUCCAUAGUUCUAACUGUUCAGGGUCUGCUCCUCCUGGUACACUCUUUUUGGUUCACUGUAUGUACUCCUGUUGUCUUUUUUUUUUUUUCCAAAGCACUUUUCUGUUUUCAUAAAUUAUAUACUCAUUCACUCAGUGGACACUUCCUCUACAAUGUUUGCCAGUUUCUGUUAGUUGGGAGAAGUGUCAGCUGUGAAAAGAAAAAGUAGGUGGCAUUUUACAGUGUUUCCAGUAACCUGAGCUAUAUAAAAUUUGUGUUAAAAAGCUACACUGGGCCAGGUGAGGUGGCUCACACCUGUAAUCGUAGCAUUUUGGGAGGCUGAGGCAGGCGGAUCACUUGAGGUUGGGAGUUUAAGACCAGCAUGGCCAAUAUAGCGAAACCCCAUCUUUACUAAAAAUACAAAAAAAUUAGCCAGGCGUGGUGGUACAUGCCUGUAAUCCCAGCACUUUGGGAGACCAAGGUGGGAGG
rnacentral:lncRNA from 1 species